rnacentral:lncRNA from 1 species
GCAUCCCCAAGCUUAACUCCUACUCGUCCUCGACUAGGUAAGUGAUAAAAACAGAAUUUUUGAUGUGGAGUGUUGUUCAUCAAGUCAUAUCAUAUUCUUUUAUUUAUAGCAUGGACAAUUGGACUUUUAUGUGAUUCAAAGCAAUAGUCUAGUUUUGACAUAAUAAUUUAGAUACUCAAGCAUAUCAACAAGCAACCAUGUCUUUCAAAAUAUAAACGCUAAAAUAAGUUAUCCCUAGCCCAUCAUGCUCAAACAUUGGUCCAUUCAUGAAACACACUCGAAUAUUAACUACACCCAAUACUUGGGCAAGAUCAUAUUGCCUCCUAGUUGGUGCUUUUAUAAGAGAAGAUGGAGACUCAAAUUCAAAAAAUAAAAAUUGCAUAAAGGAAAAGAAAGGCCCUUCGCACAGAGAAGUAGGGAUUUGUAGAGGUGCCAGAGCUCAAAGCGAAAAAUUAGAGAUAAAAACAUUUUGGGAGGUGUAUCCAUCCCACCAACGAAAACGACUCAGAGUUCCGAACACUUUCCAUGCUAGAUACGCCAUAGGCGGUUCUCAAACAGAAAAUAAAGUUUAUUCCUUUUUCCACCAUACUUUCACUUUCCAUGGCUAACCGUAUCCACGGGUGCCCUCCAUACCAACACUUUCCAAGGAAUUUAUUAUUUGACAACAUAAAGUAAAUUCAUUUUUGCAUUUCGGGACCGGGCAUCCCUAAAACCUUUGCCUUACUCUUGUGCAAUGACAAGUGAAUAAACACUGAUCUUGAGAAUAACACAUCUAGCAUGGAAAAUAUUAGCCACCCGUUACCGUUCCGCGAGCGAAACAAACACACAAAAGAGAAGUUUAUUUUGAAAUUAGAGAUGGCACAUGCAAAUUUGUUUAGAACGGCAAAAGAAUACCGCAUAUAGGUAGAUAUAGUGGACUCAUGUGGCAGAACUGAUUUAAAGGAUUUUGGAUGCACAAGUAGAGGUCAUACUUAGUGCAAAAUGAAGGCUAGCAAAAAGAUUGAGAAGCGACCAACCAAGAAACGAAUAAUCUCAUAAGCAAGCAUUAAGCAUAAUUAACACCGAAUAAUGCACCAUAAGUAGGAUAUAAUUUUCAUUGCAUGAUUAUUGACUUUCGUGCAUGCAUAGGGAAUCACAAACCUUAACACCAAUAUUCUUACUAGAGCACAAUUACUCAUCAACAUAACUCACAUAUCACAUCAUCAUAUCUUAAAACUAUUACUAAGAAUCAAGUUUAUUUUGUCCAAUGAUCUUCAUGACAUUUUUUCUUUAUCCUUCUUGGAUAUCUAUCACUUUGGGACUAAUUUUUAUGUGUUGCUUUUCAUAAGCUUAAACAAAUAUAAGUGAAGAUCAUGAGCAUAACAAUUUUUUCUUUCUCUCAAAAUAAUUUAAGUGAAGCAAGAGAGAAUUUCUUCAAAAUUUUACUAACUCUCAAAUAAAUCUAAGUGAAUCAAGAGAGAAUUUCUUCAAAAAUAACAAAGCACACCAUGCUCAAAAAGAUAUAAGUGAAGCACUAGAGCAAGUCCUAGCUCAUAAAAGAUUUAAGUGAAGCAUAGAGAGCAAUUCUAACAAGUCAUGAAAUAAUUUUAGCUCUCUCAAAUAGGUGUGUCCAGAAAGGAUUGAUGACUUAAAACACAAAAUAAAACAAGCAAAGACACAUAUCAUACAAGACAAUCCAAGCAAAACACAUAUCAUGUGACGAAUAAAAAUAUAGCCUCGAGUAAAAUACCGAUAGUUGUUGGAAAAAAGCGGGGAUGCCACUCGGGGGCAUCCCCAAGCUUAGUUGGUUGCUCAUACUUGGAUAAUAGCUUGGGAUGCCGGGGCAUCCCCAAGCUUAGGCUCUUACAUCCUUCCUUCAUCCAUCGUAAGAUAACUCAAAAUUUGAAAACUUCAAUCACACAAAACUCAACAAAACCUUCGUGAGAUCCAUUAGUGUAAGAAAAAUAAAUCACUACUAUAAGUGUUGUAUCAAACCAAUUCAUAUUUUGUUUUUCUAUUAUAUCUACUGUAUUCCAACUUUUCUAUGGCAAAAACUCAUCAAAGAAAACCAUAGAGCCAUCAAAAUAAGCACACAAUACAAAGAAAACAGAAUCUGUCAAAACAGAACAGUCUGUAGUAAUCUAAUUUUUUUGAAUACUUCUGGAACUCCAAAAAUUCUACCAAAAUAGGACGACCAGGGUAAUUUGUAUAUUAAUCUUCUGCAAAAAUAAUCAGGGAAAAAGCUCUUUUCUGUGAUUUAUGAAAAUUAUUUUCGCGAGCGCAAAGUUUCUGUCUUUUACAGCAAGAUCAAACAACUAUCACCCAAGAAGAUCCUAUAGGCUUUACUUGGAACAAACACUAAUUAAAACAUAAAAAUCACAAUCAUACCAGUAGCAUAAUUGUGUAAACACACAAGAACAGAAAUCAAAAAGCAAAAAUAAAUUUUAUUCAUUAGGUUGCCUCCCAACAAGCGCUAUAGUUUUACGCCCUUAGCUAGUUUUGUCAUCCUUCUUCUUCUUAAUUUUCUUGGGGGUAUUUUUAUCAGGAGGUUUUGUAAACACAACCUAAAACAUAUUAUCCAUAGAAACUUAAGCAUUCCUUAGUUGGUUUUCAUCAUAACCCCUUUGAUUUCCCGCUACAAUCCAAGAGUAGUGUUGAUUAACAUCAUUAAAAACUUGUUGGAUUAUUUCUAGAACAGGAACCUCCUUUUUAAUAUUAUCAUCAAAGAUCUUAUUAUCCCCAAGCAAAUGUCUUAGUGCAUAGUCACUAUUGUAAAGAAUUUCAUCUAUCACAGGUUUUUCAUGAUUCAUACCAUAAGAGUCAAAGAUUUCCCUAGCUUCCCGAAUUAUGUAGUCGAACUCGUUCAUAAGAACGAGAGUGGCCAACUUUUUGGCUCUAGGGUUCUUUAUUUCGGGAAGCUCAAAAAACAAUCUUUGCAAAGUAGGAUGAGUGCGGAUAAAUUUACUUUCAAGUUUCAGAACUAGUGCUGAAAUAGCAUCUGCAUAAGAUCUAGUAGUUUUAAGUAUAGGAGCAUCAUCAAGACUUAGAUUUCCAACACAAUUGAGAAAUUCUUGGAUACGUUCUUUUCCCAUAACGUUCCCUUGCCCCAAGAUAAAAGUUUUAGCAUCCAGAUUGCAUGUACAUCCAAUAUUAGGAGUCGGGCCAUCAUCUGUUGGUGCCAUACCGAAAUCGCUCAUGAUUGCAAGCAAAGAAUAGAUCUGACGAGAAAAUGGUGAACGGAAAAAGAGAGGCGAAAAACGGCAAAUUUUUGUGAAGUGGGGGAGAGGAAAAGGAGAGGCAAAUGGGAAAUAAUGUAAAUUGCAAGGAGAUGUGAUUUGUGAUUAGGAACCUGGUUAUGUUGAAGAUCCUCCCCGGCAACGGCGCCAGAAAUUCUCCUUGAUGGUAGCUGAAACUACGUCGGUAUUUCCCUGGAGAGGGAGGGAUGAUGUAGCACAGCGAUGGUAGGUAUUUCCCUCAGUUAUGAAACCAAGGUAUUGAACCAGUAGGAGCACCAAGCAACAUAACGUAAACAACACCUGCGCACAAACAACAACACCUCGCAACCCGACGUGUUAAAGGGGUUGUCAAUCCCUUCCGGGGUACGGCGCCUCAAGAUAGGCAAGCGGACGUGAGGUUAAUUGUAGUAGAUUGAUAGAUCGAACGCCAAAUAAAAUAAAUAGAGAUAAAACGCAGCAAGGUAUUUUUGUGUUUUUUGGCUUAAUGGAUCUGAAUAAAAAUGCAAAGGAAAAGUAGAUCGCAAGGCAAAUAUAUGAGCAAGAAGACCCGGGGCCGUAGGUUUCACUAGUGGAUUCUCUCGAGAAAAAUAGCAAACGGUGGGUAAACAAAUUACUGUUGGCCAAUUGAUAGAACUUCAAAUAAUUAUGACAAUAUCCAGGCAAUGAUCAUUACAUAGGCAUCACGUCCAAGAUUAGUAGACCGACUCCUGCCUACAUCUACUACUAUUACUCCACACAUCGACCACUAUCCAACAUGCAUCUAGUGUAUUAAGUUCAUGGAAAAACGGAGUAAUGCAAUAAGAACGAUGACAUGAUGUAGAUAAGAUCCAUUUAUCUAUAUGGCGGUAGAUAUAGAUCUCGUCUUUUAUCCUUAGUAGCAACGAUACAUACGUGUCGGUUCCCUUUCUGUCACUGGGAUCAAGCACCGUAAGAUCGAACCAACUAUCGGGCACCUCUUCCCAUUGCAAGAUAAAUAGAUCAAGUUGGCCAAACAAAACCCAAAUGUCGGAGAAGAAAUAUGAGGCUAUAAGAGAUCAUUCAUAUAAGAGAUCAAGGAAACUCAAAUAACUUUCAUGGAUAUAAAAACAUAUAACUGAUCAUAAACUCGAAGUUCAUCAGAUCCCAACAAACACACCGCAAAAGAGUUACAUCAUAUGGAUCUCCAAGAGACCAUUUUAUUGAGAAUUCCGCGAGAGAGAGGAAGCCAUCUAGCUACUAACUACGGACCCGAAGGUCUACAAAGAACUACUCACGCAUCAUCGGAGAGGCACCAAUGGAAGUGGUGAACCCCUCCGUGAUGGUGUCUAGAUUGGAUCUGGUGGUUCUGGACUCUACGGCGGCUAGAUGAAUAUUUCGUCGACGCUUCUAGUGUUUUGGUAUUUUUGGGGUAUUUAUAGAUCAAAGAGGCGGUCCGGGGGGCACCCGAGGUGGGCACAACCCACCAGGGCGCGCCCUGGUGGGUUGUGCCCCCUCGGGGCACCCCCAGGUGCAACCAAGGCCCAUUGCCUUCCUUCUGGCCCAUAAAAAUUCAUCGUGGAGUUUCGUGGCAUUUGGACUCCGUUUGAUAUUGAUUUCCUGCGAUGUAAAAAACAUGGAAAAAACAGCAACUGCCACUUGGCACUAUGUCCAUAGGUUAGUACCAAAAAAUGAUAUAAAAUGACUAUAAAAUGAUUAUAAAACAUCCAAGAUUGAUAAUAAAACAACAUGGAAUAAUCAAAAAUUAUAGAUACGUUGGAGACGUAUCAGCAUCCCCAAGCUUAACUCCUACUCGUCUUUGAGUAGGUAAGUGAUAAAAACAGAAUUUUUGAUGUGGAGUGUUGUUCAUCAAGUCAUAUCAUAUUCUUUUAUUUAUAGCAUGGACAAUUGGACUUUUAUGUGAUUCAAAGCAAUACUCUAGUUUUGACAUAAUAAUUUAGAUACUCAAGCAUAUCAACAAGCAACCAUGUCUUUCAAAAUAUCAACACUAAAAUAAGUUAUCCCUAGCCCAUCAUGCUCAAACAUUGGUCCAUUCAUGAAACACACUCGAAUAUUAACUACACCCAAUACUUGGGCAAGAUCAUAUUGCCUGGUGCUUUUAUAAGAGAAGAUGGAGACUCAAAUUCAAAAAAUAAAAAUUGCAUAAAGUAAAAUAAAGGCCCUUCGCAGAGAGAAGUAGGGAUUUGUAGAGGUGCCAGAGCUCAAAG